AACGAACGCUGGCGGCAGGCCUAACACAUGCAAGUCGAACGGACCCUUCGGGGUUAGUGGCGCACGGGUGAGUAACGCGUGGGAACGUGCCCUUAGGUACGGAACAACAGUUGGAAACGACUGCUAAUACCGUAUGAUGACGUAAGUCCAAAGAUUUAUCGCCUAAGGAUCGGCCCGCGUUAGAUUAGAUAGUUGGUGGGGUAAAAGCCUACCAAGUCUACGAUCUAUAGCUGGUCUUAGAGGAUGACCAGCCACACUGGAACUGAGACACGGUCCAGACUCCUACGGGAGGCAGCAGUGAGGAAUAUCGGACAAUGGGCGAAAGCCUGAUCCAGCCAUGCCGCGUGAAUGAUGAAGGCCUUAGGGUUGUAAAGUUCUUUUAGUAGUGAAGAUGAUGACGGUAACUACAGAAAAAGCUCCGGCUAACUCCGUGCCAGCCGCCGCCGUAAGAC
rnacentral:rRNA from 1 species